rnacentral:rRNA from 1 species
UAGUAAUGCCUAGGAAUCUGCCUGUUAGUGGGGGAUAACGUUCCGAAAGGAACGCUAAUACCGCAUACGUCCUACGGGAGAAAGUGGGGGAUCUUCGGACCUCACGCUAACAGAUGAGCCUAGGUCGGAUUAGCUAGUAGGUGAGGUAAUGGCUCACCUAGGCUACGAUCCGUAACUGGUCUGAGAGGAUGAUCAGUCACACUGGAACUGAGACACGGUCCAGACUCCUACGGGAGGCAGCAGUGGGGAAUAUUGGACAAUGGGCGAAAGCCUGAUCCAGCCAUGCCGCGUGUGUGAAGAAGGUCUUCGGAUUGUAAAGCACUUUAAGUUGGGAGGAAGGUCUGUAAGUUAAUAUCUUGCAGCUUUGACGUUACCAACAGAAUAAGCACCGGCUAACUCUGUGCCAGCAGCCGCGGUAAUACAGAGGGUGCAA